rnacentral:rRNA from 1 species
CACGUAGGGUGCGAGCGUUGUCCGGAAUUAUUUGGCGUAAAGAGCUCGUAGGCGGUGUGUCGCGUCGGCCGUGAAAACCUGCAGCUUAACUGUGGGCGUGCGGUCGAUACGGGCAUCACUGGAGUUCGGCAGGGGGAGACUGGAAUUCCUGGUGUAGCGGUGAAAUGCGCAGAUAUCAGGAGGAACACCGGUGGCGAAGGCGGGUCUCUGGGCCGAUACUGACGCUGAGGAGCGAAAAGCGUGGGGAGCGAACAGG